AUCGCUUCUCGGCCUUUUGGCUAAGAUCAAGUGUAGUAAAUGAGAAACUGAUUUUGUUUAUUCAAAGUAUACUUGAGGAACAAAUGCAAAGUGAAAACUCUCACUUUUACCAAAUUAAUUUGGUAAAAAUUAAUCAAA
rnacentral:snRNA from 1 species